rnacentral:rRNA from 1 species
UACGUAGGGUCCGAGCGUUGUCCGGAAUUAUUGGGCGUAAAGAGCUCGUAGGCGGUUUGUCGCGUCUGCUGUGAAAUCCCGAGGCUCAACCUCGGGUCUGCAGUGGGUACGGGCAGACUGGAGUGCGGUAGGGGAGAAUGGAAUUCCUGGUGUAGCGGUGGAAUGCGCAGAUAUCAGGAGGAACACCAGUGGCGAAGGCGGGCAUCUGGGCCAACACUGACGCUGAGGCGCGAAAGCUAGGGGAGCAAACAGG